UUUAGAGAAGCACUGCUUCUUCCAGCCAAGAGGCAAGAAGAUGCUCCCCAGGUUUCUUCCAAUUACCCAAGUUCUCAGCAAAAAAGAUUGGAGCAAUGAUGUGAGACAUGGAAGACUAAGCUUAGGCUGAAUUAGAUCCCACCUACACAUCCUGGUGCUACUGACUCAUCCUGCAGUUCAGCUUGCCCUCUGGAGACAUUUAGCUCUUCCCACCGACCGAGAGCCCUGCAGAAGGGAGCCAAUUGCUGGAGGUGCUUGAGACAAGCAGUCAGGUCUGCCCCAUCUAUGUAUUUUCUUGGUGAGUAGUACACGGCAGUGAUGAAGUCUCUGCAGAGUUGAUACAGGACAUUGCACUCAAGAAAUAUAACUUACAGUACUUCGG
rnacentral:lncRNA from 1 species